GCUGCACGUCACGGGGCCGGGGAGCAGGGGCUACGUUCAUCUUCCCCCGACGAAGCACGACGACAUCCUGGAAGGACGCGCAGGGACUCACGCGCUGCCCCCGGGGGAGCGGGGGACAGAGGGCGGGGCACUCGCCAGAGACCUGCUAGUAUCUGUGACACCGAACCACUGGCUGUGCCACCCACGCCAUCUUCAUACACCAGGGCGUGUGCACAUGUGUUGAGGGUCACUCCGGACAUCCAACCCGACCUGAGUGGGCGGUGCCCGGGCUGCGAAGCAGCCCUGCUCCCUCAGGAGGCAGCGGGCUGUGGGGCCAGGUGACGGUGAACGGAGACAGAGCCACCCUAACCCGGACACGCUGUGAACUGCGACGCGGAGGGAGUCGGACCCGCGCAGAGGUGCCACGGCUUCCUCCCCAGUGCUGGCAGAGAGAGGAACCCAGUUUGUCUCCACCAAAGACCCCCAAGAGAAGGCCAAGGGAACGUCCAGGGACCAGCCUCGGUGAGUCCGCCGCCACCCUGCAGACCUCCAGGGCUGUGGGCUCAGGCCACAUGCCCCAGGAGCCUCCCGGGGGACCUCAACCCCAAGUGGGCCAAGAAAGCACUUUUCAGAGCUGUUGUCAGCACAAGGUAUCUACGGGCUGCUCCACAGACCAGUGAGCCUGGGACCCCCGCCUGCCACAGACCGGCGAGCCUGGGACCCCUGCCUGCCAGACCCUCCCCCUGUGCUGCCCCUGCUCCAGGCCCCAGAACCUACGGGGCUUCACGAGGAAGUCACUGUGGUCCCCGAGCCUGAGGAAUCGUGUCUGAAUCCUGGCUCUGCGGCGCGUGAGCUGGGCCUUCCUGCACUUAACCUCUCGGAGCCUCAGUGUCCUGUGUGACAUGGGGACAAUGACGUGGCCUUCCAGAGCUGAAGAAAAGAUGGGGAAAUGAGCGCCAUGUGUCCACAGUGGGCCUGCCCUAACUCAGGGUUAGGGUUAGGGUCAGGGUUACAUUAGGG